rnacentral:rRNA from 1 species
AGAGUUUGAUCCUGGCUCAGGACGAACGCUGGCGGCGCGCCUAACACAUGCAAGUCGAACGAGCGAGAGAGAGCUUGCUUUCUCAAGCGAGUGGCGAACGGGUGAGUAACGCGUGAGGAACCUGCCUCAAAGAGGGGGACAACAGUUGGAAACGACUGCUAAUACCGCAUAAGCCCACGACCCGGCAUCGGGUAGAGGGAAAAGGAGCAAUCCGCUUUGAGAUGGCCUCGCGUCCGAUUAGCUAGUUGGUGAGGUAAUGGCCCACCAAGGCGACGAUCGGUAGCCGGACUGAGAGGUUGAACGGCCACAUUGGGACUGAGACACGGCCCAGACUCCUACGGGAGGCAGCAGUGGGGAAUAUUGCACAAUGGGGGAAACCCUGAUGCAGCGACGCCGCGUGGAGGAAGAAGGUCUUCGGAUUGUAAACUCCUGUUGUUGAGGAAGAUAAUAACGGUACUCAACAAGGAAGUGACGGCUAACUACGUGCCAGCAGCCGCGGUAAAACGUAGGUCACAAGCGUUGUCCGGAAUUACUGGGUGUAAAGGGAGCGCAGGCGGGAAGACAAGUUGGAAGUGAAAUCCAUGGGCUCAACCCAUGAACUGCUUUCAAAACUGUUUUUCUUGAGUAGUGCAGAGGUAGGCGGAAUUCCCGGUGUAGCGGUGGAAUGCGUAGAUAUCGGGAGGAACACCAGUGGCGAAGGCGGCCUACUGGGCACCAACUGACGCUGAGGCUCGAAAGUGUGGGUAGCAAACAGGAUUAGAUACCCUGGUAGUCCACACUGUAAACGAUGAUUACUAGGUGUUGGAGGAUUGACCCCUUCAGUGCCGCAGUUAACACAAUAAGUAAUCCACCUGGGGAGUACGACCGCAAGGUUGAACUCAAAGGAAUUGACGG